UUGCUGCAGGAAAACACACCAAACUCGCGCCCAACUGACUAGGCUACGAUCAGCUACUCGGCCCUACCGUCAGUCCGCACCACCUGCUUACAACCAUGCGUUUGCCACUAUCGCUAGCGUCCCCCGGAACGCCAGAGCCGAUGGCACAACGCAUUUCUCCGUCGACGAGAACCGACCAUUGGGCAACAAUUUCAGUGCAUCGAGAAAGCUCGUACCCGCUGGUCUGGUACGACGAAAGGUCUGCCACGUACCAAAUGAUCGCUCACAUCCCCGGCACAACAGUGGAGACAGUGGUGAUCGACCCGAACUUUAUAAUAGCGUCUGGGCCGUGGGCUUCCUGGCGCUUCUGUUAUUCUGUGUUUCGGGCUCCCGACUUUCCGUACUGGCAUUUCGGGUGGUCCGCACCAAUGAUGGCAGAAGCGUGCUGGAGGCUCGAUUGCGGAUUUACAGACCCGCCGAGGCUUUUUGACGGGCCACCAGGAAGCCCGGCUGGUUGCCACUGUGAAAGAGGCUAUUAUAUCAGAGCACGUCCGCGUUGCCCGCCUUCACCAGUGUCAUCCACCUGCUCCACUCUAUCGGAUGGCAACGACGAGUGUGAAGAAGGAUAUUAGCAGCGUGAGCCAUCUAUGAGCCUUUCCGACCUUGGCGGCUGAGACUACAAAUAUUCACUCUGGCCACCUACCAUGAACUCCUGUUCAGCCGAGAGCAGCCUGGCGCGGAAGGCUACGCUGUGUGUUAGCCCGCGUAAAUAACUGUAUGCAUCUAGUCGUGUUUAAAUAAAUAUCGGUUUCACUAAA